rnacentral:ribozyme from 1 species
GAAAAAAAAAACAGAAAAAACUACAACUCCUUUCCUUCUCUGCUUCCUUUUGUUCCCAUUCUGACUGUAAAAAAACAAAAAAAAAAAAAAAACAAACACACCUU